UUGUCGCUAAAAUUCUUCUUGUCGCUAAUUAGUGAGACCGUAAAUUUGUAAUAGUUCCUGGUCAUGGGGAUACAUUUUAAUGCAUGUGUAAGCUCUGAAAUGGGAUGGAAAUUCAGUGGUUAUUUCAAUGUGUAAAUUUCUUUUAAAAUAUGAGAUAUGAAUUUAGAGGAUGCAUGAUGGCUAUCUUUUUUUUUUAUAUGGGAAAGAGUAGUCUGUGCCUGUAAUCGCUUUCCCUUUGUAUUUUAUGUUUAUGAAAGAUUUAAUUUUUA
rnacentral:lncRNA from 1 species